rnacentral:rRNA from 1 species
AUGCUCUCCAUGGCGGGCAGGCGCGUCCUUGUCCGCUGCGUCCUCACGGCCCUGCCCACCUUCGCCCUCACAGCGCUGCGAGUCCCCAAGAAACUGCUAAAGGAAAUUGACAAAUACAGGCGACGCUUUCUUUGGGGGAAGGAGCAAGAACUCUCUGGCGGCAGCUGCAAGAUCAACUGGGAACGAGCCUGCUCCCCGGUCAAGCACGGUGGGCUCGGCGUGCUUGACCUGCCAAACUUCAGUCGCGUACUCCGGCUGAGAUGGCUCUGGCAUAGCUGGAAAAACCCCACUCGCCCUUGGGUGGGAACGGAGCCGCCAUGUGAUGACUCGGACCACGCUCUGUUCAACACGGCGACACAGGUAGCCGUUGGCAACGGCAAAACGGCGAGCUUCUGGCAUUGCUCAUGGCUAGGACCGGUGCCAUUGAAGUUCUGCUUCCCGACUCUUUUCAAGCACUCGAGGCGCAAGGGCAGAACUGUGGCUUAG